ensembl:lncRNA
AGCUCAGAGGAAGACGACUUGAAGACUGUCUCAGAGGAAGACAGAGAGAAGGCGGCGUCUGCAGCAAGGAAAGGGGCCUCAGAAGAAGCCGACCUGCUGGCACCUUCAUCUUCCACUUCCAGCUUCCAGAACUAUGGGAAAAUGAAUUUCUGUUGCUUUGAUUUUUUGAAGAAGAAGAUCUGCCCUGAGCUAACAUCUGCUGCCAAUCCUCCUCUUUUUGCUGAGGAAGACUGGCCCUGAGCUAACAUCCAUGCCCAUCUUCCUCUACUUUAUACGUGGGACGCCUACCACAGCAUGGCGUGCCAAGCGGUGCCACGUCCGCACCCGGGAUCUGAACUGGUGAAUCCCGGGCCGCCGAGAAGCGGAACGUGUGCACUUACCCACUGCGCCACCGGGCUGGCCUCUGGAGAUAUUUUGAAGAGAAGAGUGAGAGUGUGCCUGUGAUGGGCAGAAAAUUCUCUGAAAGUCAUUUCUGUUCACUCAGGACGUUCCACGAGCUAAGACUUGCCAUCUCUCCCUUUCACCUCCCCUCUCCCACCCCUGAAACACUUUCCAUUUUCUCACUGUAGUGUAUCCUUCGUGCCACCUCCAGUUAUCUCAUUCAAAUCCAGCCCUGAUCACUUCACUAACCUCUUCAAAAGACUAUGGUUGUUCUCCACUGCCUUUGGGGUCAAGACCAAAAUCCUUAGCAUAGCACAGAAGACACUUCACAACCAGGUCCUGUCCUGUCCCCUGCAGCUUCCGCCCCUAGUCCUCGACCUCCACCAUUCCCCUGCCCAAUACAGCAACACAAAGGAAGCAUCUGUCCCACAGGAGGCCUCACCUCUCUGCCCCGUGUGGGAACCCUGGCAGGCGUGGCAGGCCUCCCGGAGCCCCAUCUACAUAAGAACCAGGUGGUCCUGAGAGAAACAAGGAAAAAGGAAUGUUGGAACUAGUGUUAAUCCCGAGCAACCUGGCAUUAAGGCUCUUCAGUGUGAGCGAUGCCUGGCACUUGCUUGGCUGCCGGGGGAGAGAGAUGCUGUGGUGGUUGUAGGAAAGGAAUUGUGCUUUACUGGGAAACUAGGCAUUGUCUGGAGGAAAGCCCUUGGGUCGUCUGAUUCUAAUCUUUCAUUACCUUUGAGCUACUUUACAACCUUUUCAGUUGUAAGUAAUUGAUAGUAAUGCAAAAUAAUCCUCUGACAUGCAAAUUCUGUCCUGUCUGGUAGGGCUCUCAUUGAUUUCCCCAGCCUCUGUGGUGAAAUCAGUUUGCUUCUAUUUACACAUUCAUUUCAAUAUUUCUGAUCUAUAAAUAUAGCUGUUCUUUGAGUUAUUUCAUUGAUUCAUUGAAUCAAUGUUUCCUUCAUUGAUUAGUGAGUAAAAUAAGAUGUUUAACAUAUAUGUAUAUGGAUCAUGAUUUUAAUUAUCUUAGAGCGUAAGACACUGUCUGGCGCCACCAAACUUCUUCCAAAUCAUCCCAGAGAGAUGUUGUCUCAGCAUCUUCAGGGAGUCAAAGGAGACCGAGGGAGAGACGUCAUGAUUUCAGGACUGAAAAAGAGUCGCGAAAUGUUAGCAGAGGGGCCCUUCUUCACCCAGAAAGACGGAACCGGCCGCUCAACAGCUACCCCUCGGUCAACGUCGACAAGCAGACGCGCCCCAGAUGACAUCUGUGACUAUGUAUGCAAGACCACAGUGAAAUCAGUUGCAAAAUGAAAAUUGGAAGUCUUCUAAAAGAUGUAGUCUGUGAAGCAAUGAGUCUGAC